rnacentral:misc_RNA from 1 species
UGCGCGCCGAUUUACUGUCCGGUGUCCGCAUCUGAAACAACCACACGUCUCUCUGUGUAUUUGUGUUUGUGGAAUUCUUGGUGUGAAAUCCUCGUUCCACAAGAGUGGUGGGUUGUUUUUGUCCCCCAAUCACUUGCAUGUGGCUCCCAACUUCUCCUAAUAUUGAAUUAAUUUUUUUUCUUUAGUUUCAAGACUCUAUCACAUCGCAGACCUUCUCCCCCAAUUCCUUCCCUUUUCUGCAGUUUUUUCCUUCUCCCAACAGGAAAAAAGCGGGCAGCUUUUCAUGGGAAAUUUCCACUUACUCUUUUUCUGAUUUAAUUAUCUGGGUGAGGCUAAAUUUGUUGAUUGGAUUCAUUUGUGCUCUUUUUACUUUGUUCUGUGCUGCUGAAAUCAUCAACGUUUGAAUGGGGGACGUAGCGAAGGACUUAACUGCUGGGACUAUUGGGGGGGCGGCACAAUUGAUUGUUGGGCACCCUUUUGACACCAUCAAGGUCAAGCUUCAGAGCCAGCCUGCUCCACAACCUGGCCAGCCUCCUAAAUAUGCAGGUGCAAUGGAUGCUGUCAGGCAGACUUUGGCUGCUGAAGGCCCAAGGGGUUUAUACAAGGGUAUGGGGGCUCCACUUGCUACUGUGGCAGUCUUCAAUGCUGUUCUUUUCACUGUGAGGGGACAAAUGGAGGCAUUGCUGAGAUCUCAACCUGGUGCUCCACUUACGGUUAGCCAGCAGAUUGUUUGUGGGGCUGGAGCUGGAGUUGCUGUUUCUUUUCUUGCUUGCCCUACCGAGUUGAUUAAGUGCAGGUUGCAAGCACAAAGUGCAUUAGCUGGUUCUGGUUCUGGUUCUGGUUCGGAAGCUGUGGCAGUGAAGUAUGGCGGGCCAAUGGGUGAUGUGGCCAGGCAUGUUCUCAAAUCUGAAGGUGGUGUGAGAGGUCUUUUCAAGGGCUUGGUACCCACUUUGGGACGUGAGGUUCCAGGAAAUGCUAUUAUGUUUGGUGUCUAUGAAUUACUGAAGCAAUCCUUGGCAGGAGGCCAGGAUACUUCUCAAUUGGGAAGGGGUUCUUUGAUGUUGGCUGGAGGCUUAGCUGGAGGAUCCUUUUGGCUAAUGGUAUACCCUACUGAUGUGAUCAAGAGUGUAAUUCAGGUAGAUGAUUGCAGAAAUCCAAAGUUCACUGGCUCCAUUGAUGCAUUCAGAAAGAUCCUGGCGUCAGAGGGUGUCAAAGGCUUGUACAGGGGUUUUGGCCCUGCUAUGGCUCGAAGUGUGCCUGCAAAUGCGGCAUGUUUCUUGGCGUAUGAAGUGGCAAGGUCUAGUUUGGGAUGAUUGAUUUUUUCAGGCAUUGGUUAUUGGCCAAAGAUUUUGGUUAAUCUUCAUCAUUGUUAUCAUAUUGCUCAUCUCAAAGUCCUCGUGUCAUUCAAUGAAAGCUUCUUGGAGUAAUUGUUAAGCAAUAUGAUAACAGCUUAUUUAUCAUAAAACAAACGGGCCUUUUAUCCUCCCAAUAUUGAUACGAUUCUUGUUUGGGUGAUGGAAGAAACACUUACCUCAACAGUAGUUGCAUUUGUUUUAUUUUUUUUCCC